CCACCUUGGCCUUAUCAGGGGAAUCCGGAGCCUUGUUGCCCUAGCCGCCCGCAGGACGGGACGACAGCCUCGCCGCCUCACGCACCACCGCCGGCCCCCGCGCUGCCGCCGUCCUCCUCACGGCCUGAACCCUGCCUUCCCCUGCUCGCACCGUUUCGCCGCUCCCCUGCUUCCCCCGCCUCCGCCCGAUCCGCGCCGCGACCCGCACCCCUACUCUCCUCUCAUCGCCCAGUCGAUUGAACACGCCGAUAGACUCUCGUAGCUGCUAGAACCUUCCGCCGGCCCGAUUCUGUGCUCGCACCCGUGCCCGUGCAGCUACCCGCACCCCUGACGCCCCAGGCGCCGGCGUACCAAUCCAAAAUCGUCGUGACCGUCAUUUUUGGGGCUGCCUCGUUUUUUACCACGAGCUGAGGGAUGGGGCGAAGUGGGUACACGGACGAGGGAGGAGCUUCCAUGAUGGACUGGCUCAGGGAUUCGGUGGAGAGUAGCAUCGAUUCAGAGAAGGGUUACUUUGACCCAGAUUACUUGUUGGAGCAUGAGCAUGAUGAUGAUGAUGAUGAUGAAGAUGUUGAGCACAAUCUGGGUACUGUGGGAGUGGUGCCUUAGAGUAGUGAUGUGUGGAACCAAAAAUUACUAGCUGAUUUGGAAGCACAGUUGAACGAGGAGAAGGAGAAGAAGCAAAAAUUACUAGCUGACAUGCUUAAGCUUGAAACUGAGCUUGCUUUCCAGGACCAGUUGAUAGAGGAGUUGGAAACGAAGGUUUCCGAAGGGCAGCAGCAGAUAGAAGAGCUGAAAAGUGAACUGGCCGAAGCAGUCAAGAUGAAGGCAGAAAUUGGCCGAGUUAGAGAUGUUGCCGUGGCAUCUUGGAGUGUGGCCAUCACUUUGGGUGUUGUUUUCAUUUGUCUUGUGAAGAUGUUGCCUUAGUUUCAAGUGGCACAAUAAGUCAGACUCCUAAAUUCGAAGUGACUAUGUUGUAAUAUUUGUAAUCUUACGUGAGACUUUGAAAUUGUAAGUGACUGUUGUAAUAUUUUGUAAUCUUAGGUGAGACUUUUAAAUUCUAAGUGACUGUCGUAA